GGCCGUGUGGCCUAAUGGAGAGGCGUCGGACUUCUAAUCCGAAAGAUUGCAGGUUCGAGUCCUGUCACGGUCG
rnacentral:tRNA from 1 species